rnacentral:tRNA from 1 species
UCCCUAGUGGCUCAGAGGGUAAAGAAUCUGCCUGCAAGGCAGGAGACCCAGGUUCAAUCCCGGAUUGGGAA